UACGGGGGGGGCAAGCGUUGUUCGGAAUUACUGGGCGUAAAGGGCUCGUAGGCGGCCAACUAAGUCGGAUGUGAAAUCCCCAGGCUUAACCUGGGAACUGCAUCCGAUACUGGAUGGCUUGAAUCCGGGAGAGGGAUGCAGAAUUCCAGGUGUAGCGGUGAAAUGCGUAGAUAUCAGGAAGAACACCCGUGGCGAAGGCGGCUCUCUGGGACGGUACUGACGCUGAGACGCGAAAGCGUGGGGAGCGAACAGG
rnacentral:rRNA from 1 species